UAAUGCAGCGAACGUGCAAAGCUACAUUUGCUCGCCGGUCGUGUGUGAUCUAUCGUUCGGAAACCUACUUUUAGUUCAGUUAGCUUACGACAGAACUAAGAGAUUCAUACGAUGUGUCUUCAAAACAUUUAUUUAUUACUAUCUUGCCAUCCACACCAAACAACGUCGAAUAUAAAUUCCUUUGUUUUGGUUAAAAAUGUUAAACUGUUGAAUUGGAUGCUCCGGUAUAAGAUAUUACUGCGCUUGUGAACUUAACGGUUCUACGAGCUAGCAAAUUGCGCUUCAUAAAGAGACCUCUCGCAGGGAAGUCGACGGCAGUCGUGAAGAGUGAAGACUUCUUAGUGCCGUUUUUUAGUUCCGCCGUGCGCGUUUCCUCGCGUCGUCAUCUCUCGACGUCUCGCUCGUCGCGCGCGCAUGCCUCGUUAUUAUUAAAACUAAUUAAAUUAGAGCGAAGGGCAACGCGCGUUGUCAGAAUUUCCACGGGAAGUAAUUCCCGCUUCCAUUAGCGCAAAAGUGAAACAAGUAACAAAGAAUUAGAAGAAAAGAAAACCACGCGCGUUGUUUUCCACCCUUCUGACCGGCGGGUAAUUUAUGCGGGGGCCAGAAAGGAAAGGAAACCCAUAUGUAAUGGCUCAAAGCAAGAGUGGUCUUUCGGAAUGAGGAAAACUGGUGUGAGAAAAGUCUCGCGUCUCCCACGAGUCUCGACUCGUGCAAACGUUUCACUUACGGGUUUGUUGUCUCCGGAGCCCAGCAGCGGCGAGUGCGCCUGCAACAAAAGAAAACAGCAUUAGUUUCAAUAUGCCAACCCACCAAGCACCGCCGACAUCUUAUCUUAACCUCGUUGAGGGGAUAACACACUGUGGAAGGGAAUACUUAGUAUACGAAAGACCCUCGCAUUCCAAACCGGAAGUCAACGUCAAAUCAUGACAAAUCAAGACUACUGGAGUCUGGUUGCCUCAAAAUUGAAACCUACAUCAGUUAUCAUCUUCUGGCACACUUAGCUGUGCUAAUUUCAACUAUAUUCAAAUGGGUGGAUAUCAGUAGGCACAGAAUGAAGAGGUUUGCAUUGGUGCGUAUUUUGUAACAAGAUUAAAUUACGCUAAUCCCUGGAAACUGCGGUUUU